rnacentral:rRNA from 1 species
CCUACGGGAGGCAGCAGUAAGGAAUAUUGGACAAUGGGCGCAAGCCUGAUCCAGCCAUGCCGCGUGAAGGAUUAAGGUCCUCUGGAUUGUAAACUUCUUUUAUAGGGGACGAAAAAAGGGCAUUCUUGUUCACUUGACGGUACCCUAUGAAUAAGCACCGGCUAACUCCGUGCCAGCAGCCGCGGUAAUACGGAGGGUGCAAGCGUUAUCCGGAUUCACUGGGUUUAAAGGGUGCGUAGGCGGGCAGGUAAGUCAGUGGUGAAAUCCUAGAGCUUAACUCUAGAACUGCCAUUGAUACUAUCUGUCUUGAAUAUUGUGGAGGUAAGCGGAAUAUGUCAUGUAGCGGUGAAAUGCUUAGAUAUGACAUAGAACACCUAUUGCGAAGGCAGCUUACUACGCAUAUAUUGACGCUGAGGCACGAAAGCGUGGGGAUCAAACAGGAUUAGAUACCCUGGUAGUCCACGCCCUAAACCGAUGGAUACUCGACAUACGCGAUACACUGUGUGUGUCUGAGCGAAAGCAUUAAGUAUCCCACCUGGGAAGUACGUCCGCAAGGAUGAAACUCAAAGGAAUUGACGGCUGAGGACGNGCGAGGCGACACGAGGGAGGAGG